UUAUGGUUAAGCUACUAAGAGCACACGGAGGAUGCCUAGGCGCUAGGAGCCGAAGAAGGACGUGGCGAACAACGAAACUGCCUCGGGGAGCUGUAAGCAAGCAUCGAUCCGGGGGUGUCCGAAUGGGGAAACCCGGCUGGGGUAAUACCUAGUCACUCAUCACUGAAUCCAUAGGUGGUGAAGAGGCAUACCAGGGGAACUGAAACAUCUAAGUACCCUGAGGAAGAGAAAACAAAAGUGAUUCCGUCAGUAGCGGCGAGCGAACGCGGAUUAGCCUAAACCGAAGAGCUUGCUCUUCGGGGUUGUGGGACGUCUCACAUGGAGUUACAAAGGCAGAGGUUAGACGAACAGGUCUGGAAAGGCCGGCCAAAGAAGGUAAAAGCCCUGUAAUCGAAAGUCUCCGCCCUCCGAGACGGAUCCCGAGUAGUGCGGGGCACGUGAAACCCCGUAUGAAUCUGCCAGGACCAUCUGGUAAGGCUAAAUACUCCCUAGCGACCGAUAGUGAAGCAGUACCGUGAGGGAAAGGUGAAAAGCACCCCGGAAGGGGAGUGAAAGAGAACCUGAAACCGUGUGCUUACAAGAAG
rnacentral:rRNA from 1 species